rnacentral:tRNA from 1 species
AGAAACUUAGGUUAAUUUAGACCAAGAGCCUUCAAAGCCCUAAGCAGAAGUUAAAAUCUUCUAGUUUCUG